UGUUGUUAAAGGUUUACCGCCUUGGGAUAGGCUUGCGUCUGAUUAGUUAGUUGGUGUGGUAACGGCACACCAAGGCUACGAUCAGUAACUGGUCUGAGAGGAUGAUCAGUCACACUGGAACUGAGACACGGUCCAGACUCCUACGGGAGGCAGCAGUGAGGAAUAUUGGGCAAUGCUCGAAAGAGUGACCCAGCAACGCCGCGUGGAGGAUGAAGGUAUUCUAUAUCGUAAACUCCUGUGAGAGCAGACGAAAGACAGAUUAUUAAUCUGGAUGACUGUAUGCUCAGAGGAAGCCCCGGCUAACUACGUG
rnacentral:rRNA from 1 species